AGAAAAUAAAUUUGUCCUUUCACUUUCAACAAUUCUUCAUAAAAGGAUGUAUAAGCUUUUUGCCUCUUGUCCUCACGAUCUGCUAGAAUAAUCCUUCUUAGACUUGAAUCAACUCUAUAUUCCGCUUUGUAUAUUACGUUUCUCAUCCUCUUUUCUGUAACCUUAAGAGUUUCAAUAUCCUUUGUGGUAUCGUCAAGGAGAUCUUGCAGAGCAGAAAGAUUUUGACAGAGAGAUUGAACAUGUUGCGUAUAGCUUCG
rnacentral:misc_RNA from 1 species